UGAGAGAGAGAGAUGUAUUUGGUCACCAAAAACGAUAAUGAAUCCGUGACUAAAUUGUGGUCUCGUGAAUGUUUGGACGCCAGGCGGCGUUAAUAUUGACCAAGUAUAGCUUGAGAGAGCAAUACCCUUCUGGCUUUUGGUCACCAAAAAUGGUUUUAAAAGUGCGGCAAUUUAUUGUACUGUUGCCGUCGUUCGACGCGAGACGAGACCAUAACACUCAGUUUUUGACCCAUGCUCUUCUCUUGGCCGUCUCACAUUUCGUGUUUGGGAGGGAAGGGGAAACGGCAAUUUGCAGCUUUGGAAUUCAAAUCCGGACUUCAAACUCUAUAGAAUAGCUGGUCAUCUACCUGAAUGGGCCACACAGUGACAACAGCUGUUUGCUAUCGGAUAGGGGCAAGGCUUUGGUGGUGUGUUGGAGGCCAUUUACAUGGAUUGUUGUUCAUUGCAUUUCAUUCAAAAUCCAACGAGGUGAUAAGGCAUUCAUUCAAAGAAGGAUUGGAUUAUGGCAGGGAGGAGGGAAUAUUAGAGUUCAAAAUUCAAAACCCUAGGUUCUAGAACAUGCCAAGCCCACUUAUAAAAUGGACCUUAACCUCUCCACAGAAACAACAUGCACCCAUUGGAGAAGGUGUGAAAAUUAACCCAGGAACCCUCUACGCCUAUAAAUAAGCCUUCAGUGCAAACCCGACCUUCACCAAAGGAAGCAGCCUGAAACUCUCUGUAAACUCCUGAAAUGAGAAGUUGUGGAGGAUUCAACAUAGAUGGAGCCAAAGAAGAAGCCGACAACGGAGAGGAAGAUGAAGACCCUCCCUCAAAACGGUACCAUCCAUGGAUUAAGUUAUCGGAUCAGUGAUUUACCAGAUGUUAGUGUUAAAAGUUUUCCCGCCCGGCACUGCUCCGGUUCUGCGUUCGUGGCGUGCGAAAGAAGGACUGCACGUGUUCUGGCACUAAAACUUGGCCCUCCCGAAGAUUCCCCUUGGAUUUCAUCGAGCUACGAAAUACCAAGACCGGAUCUGUUGUUUAGCUCCUCCUUUUCAACCUGCACAUACAGACAUGUUUAGUUGGAAUCUUUCAAUGGUUUCACUAAACUGUAGGGUGCGGAUUGAUACCUAAAAUCUAAAGAUAGAAGACACACUCGGAUAUCCAUCUAAAUUUGUGUAGGAUAUCCAUCUAAAUUUGUGUAGGAUACGAGGACAUUAUGUAAUUCAUUUGAUUUUGUGUACGGAUACGAGGACAUUAUGUAAUGAUUUGCUUUCGAUUUUCCGAUGUAUUGGACAUUUUUUGUUGGUCCUCUCAUGUAAGUUCUAUACAAUUCAAGUUAUAAGGGUAUGAAGAUGUAUUUGCUUUGUAU